rnacentral:rRNA from 1 species
GACGAACGCUGGCGGCGUGCUUAACACAUGCCAGUCGAACGGAAAGGCCCUGCUUUUGUGGGGUGCUCGAGUGGCGAACGGGUGAGUAACACGUGAGUAACCUGCCCUUGACUUUGGGAUAACUUCAGGAAACUGGGGCUAAUACCGGAUAGGAGCUCCUGCUGCAUGGUGGGGGUUGGAAAGUUUCGGCGGUUGGGGAUGGACUCGCGGCUUAUCAGCUUGUUGGUGGGGUAGUGGCUUACCAAGGCUUUGACGGGUAGCCGGCCUGAGAGGGUGACCGGCCACAUUGGGACUGAGAUACGGCCCAGACUCCUACGGGAGGCAGCAGUGGGGAAUAGUGCACAAUGGGCGGAAGCCUGAUGCAGCAACGCCGCGUGCGGGAUGACGGCCUUCGGGCUGUAAACCGCUUUCGCCUGUGACGAAGCGUGAGUGACGGUAAUGGGUAAAGAAGCACCGGCUAACUACGUG